UACAGAGGGCCCAAGCGUUGUUCGGAUUCAUUGGGCGUAAAGGGUGCGUAGGUGGCGUCGUAAGUCGGGUGUGAAAUCUCGGGGCUUAACUCCGAAGCUGCAUUCGAUACUGCGGUGCUUGAGGACUGGAGAGGAGACUGGAAUUUACGGUGUAGCAGUGAAAUGCGUAGAGAUCGUAAGGAAGACCAGUGGCGAAGGCGGGUCUCUGGACAGUUCCUGACACUGAGGCACGAAGGCCAGGGGAGCAAACGGG
rnacentral:rRNA from 1 species